UUAAGAGUGAAAGUCAAUUACAAGAAAUGCCGUGUGUGUAUCCAGAGCCUAAAGUAAGGGACUGAAAUGCUGAGCAAUUUUAGAUGCAAAAGCAGCAAGAAAAUCAUGGUGAAUCCUGGCAGACUCUCCAGCAGUCCCUCAGUAUGCACCACCCCCUGAAUAUGCACAGAGGCUGUGAGAUAUUAUGAACAUAAUCACCACCUCAUCAUUGUUGGGCUGGACCUGCACCCCCAGAUUCACAUGCUGAAACCCUAACCGCAGUGUGGCUGUAUUCUGAGACAGGCCUUUCCAAGAAUAAUUAGAGAGUCAGAUUGGAGAGCUCCCCUGGAAAUAUCCGCCACUCUGUGCGCCAUAGGAACUUCUGGGCCGCGCCCUCCCCUGCCGGCUGCUUUCCCUGCCAUCCUCAGCGCCAGAGGGCCUUCUCAGCCGCACCCGCCCCUGCUGGCUGCGUUCUGCGCCCUCUCCUGCCCGAGGUGCAUUCCGCCAUCUUCAGUGCCAGAGGGUCUUUUUGGCUGCGCCUUUCCCCUAGGCGUUCCGCUAUCUUCAGCACCAGAGGGCUGCUUGGCCGGGCCCUCCCUUGCUGGCGCCGCUGCCGCCAUCUUCAACGCUAGAAAGGUAGCCGCACCAGCACCCGCAACCCCCCCACAGACUUCCCCCUCGUGCUUUUAG